AUUGAACGCUGGCGGCAGGCUUAACAAAUGCAAGUCGAGCGGGGGAAGGUAGCUUGCUACCGGACCUAGCGGCGGACGGGUGAGUAAUGCUUAGGAAUCUGCCUAUUAGUGGGGGACAACAUCUCGAAAGGGAUGCUAAUACCGCAUACGUCCUACGGGAGAAAGCAGGGGAUCUUCGGACCUUGCGCUAAUAGAUGAGCCUAAGUCAGAUUAGCUAGUUGGUGGGGUAAAGGCCUACCAAGGCGACGAUCUGUAGCGGGUCUGAGAGGAUGAUCCGCCACACUGGGACUGAGACACGGCUCAGACUCCUACGGGAGGCAGCAGUGGGGAAUAUUGGACAAUGGGGGGAACCCUGAUCCAGCCAUGCCGCGUGUGUGAAGAAGGCCUUAUGGUUGUAAAGCACUUUAAGCGAGGAGGAGGCUACUUUAGUUAAUACCUAGAGAUAGUGGACGUUACUCGCAGAAUAAGCACCAGCUAACUCUGUGCCAGCCGCCGCGGUAA
rnacentral:rRNA from 1 species